CCUGGUGGCCCAAGUGAGGGGGCUGCACCCGAUCCCAUCCCGAACUCGGCCGUGAAAACCCUCAGCGCCGAUGGUACUGCGUCUUAAGGCGCGGAAGAGUAGGUCGCCGCCAGG
rnacentral:rRNA from 1 species